UGUGAGUGAUUAAUACAUCAA
rnacentral:piRNA from 1 species